rnacentral:lncRNA from 1 species
AUGUUUUUUCUACUACCUGGUGUGGUGUUUGACAUGACAGAUGCUGUGCAUGGAGAUAUUAAUGCCAACAAAGUUCUGCUUACAGGAAAAGAUCACACAGAGUUUGUUGGAGGUCUGGUACACCACAGAACAACCAUCACUCCACCUGCCACCAUACAGCCUACAUGGAAGAUGAAGAGGAACGAAGAGAUCUUAGAUACUUGCAGAAAUGGAGAGCAAGGAAUAAAACAAUACACAUAUUACAACUGUUAACAGAUUCAACAGUCAUACUCAGCAUCUGAUGGUUCACAGAUUUGUAUACAACUCUAGGUAAAUGUUACAAAUUCUUUUGAUUUUGGCUGCAAAAUGUUUUAUCAUCAGCCAUAGGUUUGGUUAGUGUACAAUCUGCUAACUAUAGCACUCAUUUUCUUCGGAAUUGAAAAAGAUUAAUGAAAACCUCUGAGGCAGAGAUGAGUGUGCAGUCCAGCUUUCCUGAUGCUGAAUGAAUGUUCCUACCACUACAGGAGUGAAUGAAAGGUAAGAGUUUUAAGUUCAUUUAGAGUUUCACAAAGUACUUUUGCAUUUCUUCCACACUUUUGACAAAGUUGUAACAAUUUAUUAAUAAUGCGACUAUUUUUUUGUAAUGUACUUUUUCUAGUGGAAAAUAUUCACAUUUAUCAUAGUGUCCAAAUGUGCACAGGUGACACAUUUU